rnacentral:rRNA from 1 species
UGCGUAGGCGGCCUAUUAAGUCAGUGGUGAAAGCCUACAGCUCAACUGUAGAGGUGCCAUUGAUACUGGUCGGCUUGAGUAUGGACGAGGUAGGCGGAAUUUGUGGUGUAGCGGUGAAAUGCAUAGAUACCACAAAGAACACCAAUAGCGAAGGCAGCUUACUGGACCAUAACUGACACUGAGGCACGAAAGCGUGGGGAGCGAACAGGAUUAGAUACCCUGGUAGUCC